GCCCAGAAGAGUGCCCAACACAUAGUGAACCCUAUAUAAGUAAGGCAAGCUUAUCCAACCUGUUGUCUGUGGGCUGCAUGCAGCCCAGAAUGGCUUUGAAUGUGGUCCACCACAAAUUCAUAUACAUUCUUAAAACAUGAUGAGACUUUUUUGUAACUGUUUAGCUCAUCAGCUAUCAUCAGUGUUAGUAUGUAUGGCCUAAGACAAUUCUUCUUCCAAUAUGGCCCAGGGAAGCCAAAAGAUUGGACACCCCUGAUGUAAGGGGUAGAUGGCAUUAUUAUUCUUAUCCAUCCCUCCAGACCCUGCUGAAGGAAGGGACCCCUGGAUCAGUGGAGAGCACCUUAACCCUGACCCCUUCCAGCAAUGAUGAUGGAGCCACCUUGGUCUGCAGGGCCCGGAGCCAGGCCCUGCCUGCAGGAAGGGACACAGCUAUCACACUGAGCCUGCAGUACCCCCCAGAGGUGAUUCUGUCUGCUUCACCACACACUGUGCAGGAGGGAGAGAAGGUCACUUUCCUGUGCCAGGCCACAGCCCAGCCUCCUGUCACAGGCUACAGGUGAGGACGAAGACCACCUCUCCCUAGCCCCAAGAGUGAGCUUGGGAAGGGCUGGGACCUGAGUAGGUGUGCCGGAGAGCAGGGACAAGGGUAACAGCGCCACCAUUUCCUCAGGUGGGCAAAAGGGGGCUCCCCGGUGCUCGGGGCCCGCGGGCCCAAGUUGGAGGUCGUGGCAGACGCCUCGUUCCUGACUGAGCCCGUGUUCUGCGAGGUCAGCAAUGCCGUGGGUAGCGCCCACUGCAGCACUGCGCUGGAUGUGCUGUUUGGGCCAAUUCGCAGGCAAAGCCAGAGCCCCUGUCCGUGGACGUGGGGGAAGACGCCUCCUUCAGCUGCGCCUGGCGCUUGAACCCGCUUCCACGGGUAACGUGGACCCGCCGCGGUGGCGCGCAGGUGCAGCCCUAAAUCUGAGGUGGUGGCUGGCGGGGAACCAGGCUUCCUUGCAAAUCCGGCUUCUGACGUCCCUUCCCUGUCGCAGGUGCUGGGCUCUGGAGCCACAUUGCGCCUUCUGUCGGUGGGACCGGAGGAGGAAGGCGACUAUGUGUGCAGGGCUGAGCCUGGGCUCUCGGGCCAGUGGGGCGGCGCCGCGGAGGCUCGGCUGA
ensembl:lncRNA